UACGGGAGGCAGCAGUAGGGAAUAUUGGGCAAUGGGGGCAACCCUGAUCCAGCCAUUCCGCGUGCAGGAAUAAGGCCCUAUGGGUCGUAAACUGCUUUUGUAUGGGAAAAAAUCAUCUUACGUGUAGGAUGUUGAUGGUACCAUGAGAAUAAGGAUCGGCUAACUUCGUGCCAGCAGCCGCGGUAAUACGAAGGAUACAAGCGUUGUCCGGAUUUACUGGGUUUAAAGGGUGCGUAGGCGGGGAAUUAAGUCAGUGGUGAAAGCUGGUAGCUCAACUAUCAAAUUGCCAUUGAAACUGAUUCUCUCGAGUACGGUUGAGGUAGGUGGAAUGUAACAUGUAGCGGUGAAAUGCUUAGAUAUGUUACAGAACACCGAUUGCGAAGGCAGGCUACUAAACCGUAACUGACGCUGAGGCACGAAAGCGUGGGGAUCAAACAGGAUUAGAUACCCUGGUAGUCCACGCUGUAAACGAUGCAUACUCGGUCUUAGCGAUAUACAGUUAGUGCCUAAGCGAAAGC
rnacentral:rRNA from 1 species